rnacentral:rRNA from 1 species
UACGAAGGGGGCUAGCGUUGCUCGGAAUCACUGGGCGUAAAGCGCACGUAGGCGGCUUCUUAAGUCAGGGGUGAAAUCCUGGAGCUCAACUCCAGAACUGCCUUUGAUACUGAGGAGCUUGAGUCCGGGAGAGGUGAGUGGAACUGCGAGUGUAGAGGUGAAAUUCGUAGAUAUUCGCAAGAACACCAGUGGCGAAGGCGGCUCACUGGCCCGGUACUGACGCUGAGGUGCGAAAGCGUGGGGAGCAACAGGAU